rnacentral:tRNA from 1 species
GGAAAUGAUGGUUUAAUCCCUUCCCUUACUA